rnacentral:rRNA from 1 species
CUCCUCUCCAUCCUUGGCGGGGUGCAUUCGUUUCUGAAUGGGGUUCGUGAAAAACGUUACGAAGCGUCAUGCAGGCAAUUGAUGGCCGAGUGUAUUGCUGCCGUACUUGCAGGCUUUAUAGGCAUGUAUUUCGCGGAAUAUAAGGGUAUGGAUGAAAGUCUUCAGAAUUGCGUGACUAUUAUUUGCAGCAUCAAUAACAGGCUCAUUCUUGAAAAGUUACAAAGGAUUAUCGAUUCGCACCUCAAUAGAAAUGCCUCUUAAGCAACAAAUGACCGGUUGAGAAGUUACUUUGCAUACCAUUACCUCCUGACAACGUAGGAGGGAACUUGUGCUUGACACACAGGAAUUAGCUCCAGUUGCUAUUGCGCUCCUGCUUUCAGUAAUUGGUGGGA